AGCAUCCGCAGUGCCGUUACAUUCUCUGAAAACAUGCAUAAGGUUCACAGAAUCAAAUAGAGAAAGCAUGUAUCUGCAGCUCUUAAUGAUAGCACCAAGAGGGUGGGAUUCAGUAUCCCCAUGAAGAAUUAAAUUGACUAAGAUUGCAGAGUCUGAUUCAAUCUCAAGUUUAGAGAUGCUGCAAUUAGAUGCCAUUUUGAGGCCAAGAACAAGACCCCAAGCCUCAGCAUCUCGCACUUGACCAAUACCAAGGUUGGCCUUCUUUUUCUUUUUUCAGAGGUGAUGACUUAGAAGACUUGGCAAGAAGGUUUUAAGCCCAGGGGGGUUACUAUUGACAGCAACCACUAUGAUUCAGAUCAAGUAUUAUUGACUCUCGAUCCCACUUAUUUGAGGCCUUGAGGGGAUUCCAAAUAAUUAGUUAAUGGUUUAACUAUUUUGGUUCCUGCUGCCCCUGAUCUAGCUAGCUAUCUGUGUGUAGCAUGAACUUUGAACACCUGGAAUUGGAUUUGGAAUGUAUCAAGUUAUUCAAACAGAUUGACAACAGAAAGGUAAUAAUUGCCGAGCCGACUAAAGUGCAGAUUCCAAAAGUUUUCUUGUAUUUUGUUUGUGUUGCUUAUAAAUACAUGGACAUGGAGUUGUAUCUUUUGUUUGGCCAGGAUGAAGAAGAAAUAUUCUCAAGGCUGAAUUUAUUAUCAAUGUGUAGUGAUGUAUAUAUUUCAUGAAUGGAUAUGGUGGUCAAAUGCGUACUCAAUGUGCCUCGAGCUGUUAGGAUGUGAAGGCAUAUUGAUAUUUUUGUCAAGUCCUCUGUCCAACCAUUAACACAUGCGCAACAUGUGAAGAAAGAAAGGUUAAAAUUUUUUUAACCAAGAUUGUUGUUUGUUGUGUCUAUGGUACGCAAAGAAUGGACGAAAAGGAG